UUUGGUAUCUUUCAAACGACGAUCGAGUCAUGUAGCGUGCCGUGGUUCACUCGCUCGGCGACAAUGGCGGCAGAUCUUGAACAGUUUCAACAAAUUUUAAACACACUUCUCAGCGCAGAUAAUGAUGCUCGAACGCAAGCUGAGGAAGCAUAUAACAAUCUUCCGGUGGAAACUAAGGUAACAUUCCUUUUAACAUCGGUUUGCAAUAAUGUCCUUGCAGAAGAAAUGCGUGCUAUGGCUGCAGUCCUACUGCGCCGACUUUUUUCAUCUGAUUUCAUGGACUUUUAUUCUAAGAUCCCUCCAGAGGCACAAGUACAAUUGAAAGAGCAAAUCUUGUUAUACGUUCAAAAUGAACAAACAGAAACAAUUCGCCGUAAAAUAUGUGAAGUUGCAGCCGAAGUUGCCCGUAAUUUAAUUGAUGAAGAUGGAAAUAAUCAAUGGCCAGAAUUUUUGCAGUUCCUGUUCCAAUGCGCUAAUAGUCCUUUACCGGCAUUAAAAGAAAGUGCAUUACGAAUGUUUACUUCCGUCCCUGGUGUAUUUGGAAAUCAACAAUCAAAUUAUCUUGAUCUUAUUAAGCAAAUGUUACAACAAUCAGUCACGGAUAAUACAAAUUAUGAGGUUAGAUUCCAAGCAGUAAGAGCAAUAGGAGCUUUUAUAACUUUACACGACAAAGAAGAUAAUAUACAGAAACAUUUUUCUGAACUUUUACCAGUAGUUGUGCAAGUAACUCUUCAGUCCGUAGAAAAACAAGUUGAUGAUGCUUUAUUAAAAGUAUUGAUUGACUUAGCUGAGUCUACACCUAAAUUUUUGAGAAAUCAAUUAGAGAAUAUCAUGGAAAUGUGUAUGAACAUUUUUUCAAAUGAAGAAAUGGAAGAUUCCUGGAGACAAUUAGCUCUCGAAGUUUUAGUAACACUUUCAGAAACUGCACCAGCAAUGGUUCGUAAAGUUGGUGGAAAAUACAUAGCAGCAUUAGUACCCUUGGUUUUAAAAAUGAUGACAGACUUAGAAGAGGAUGAUAAAUGGAGUUUUUCCGAUGAAAUUAUAGAAGAAGAUAAUGACAGUAAUAAUGUGGUAGCUGAAAGUGCUUUAGACAGAUUAGCAUGUGGACUAGGUGGUAAAACCAUGCUACCACUAAUAGUGCAAAAUAUUCCUACUAUGUUGAGUAACACUGAUUGGAAAUACAGACACGCAGCUCUCAUGGCUAUAUCUGCUGUUGGCGAGGGAUGCCACAAACAAAUGGAAGCUAUAUUGCCACAAAUUAUGGAGGGUGUUAUACAAUACUUACAAGACCCUCAUCCUCGUGUAAGAUAUGCGGCUUGUAAUGCAGUAGGACAAAUGUCAACAGACUUUGCUCCUAUAUUCGAAAAAAAAUUCCACGAUAAAGUUAUACCCGGAUUACUUAUGGUAUUAGAUGAUAAUGCAAAUCCCAGAGUACAAGCACAUGCAGGAGCUGCACUUGUUAAUUUCAGUGAAGACUGUGCAAAACAUAUACUAACUCUAUACCUUGAUGCUAUUAUGACAAAGCUUGGAUCUAUACUCACUGCUAAGUUUCAAGAAUUAGUUGAGAAGGGUACUAAACUUGUUUUAGAACAAGUUGUUACAACUAUUGCUUCUGUCGCUGAUACAUGUGAAGAACAGUUUAUUACUUAUUAUGACAGAUUAAUGCCUUGUCUGAAAUAUAUUAUUCAAAAUGCAACUUUGCCAGAGCAUAAAAUGUUAAGAGGAAAAACAAUAGAAUGUGUCAGUCUCAUAGGUGUAGCUGUUGGCCCAGAAAAAUUCAUUGCCGAUGCUAAUGAAGUAAUGGAAAUGUUAUUAAAAACACAUUCAGAAGAUCUACCCGACGAUGAUCCUCAAACAAGUUAUUUAAUUUCUGCUUGGGUUCGCAUUUGUAAAAUUCUUGGAAAACAAUUUGAACAAUACUUACCAUUAGUAAUGGGUCCUGUACUACGUACUGCUGCAAUGAAACCAGAAGUUGCAUUGUUAGAUAAUGAAGACAUGCAAGGUGUAGAAGGAGAUCUUGAUUGGCAAUUUGUUUCUCUUGGAGAACAACAAAAUUUCGGCAUUAAAACAGCUGGUUUAGAAGACAAAGCAUCCGCAUGUGAAAUGCUGGUUUGUUAUGCUCGUCAAUUGAAAGAAGGAUUUGCGGAUUAUGCUGAAGAGGUAGUGCGGCUCAUGGUUCCUAUGUUAAAAUUCUAUUUUCAUGAUGGUGUACGUACCGCAGCUGCAUCAAGUUUACCAUGCCUUCUUGAUUGUGCAAAAAUCAAAGGAGUACAGUAUUUGGAAGGAAUGUGGUCUUAUAUUUGUCCUGAAUUAUUAAAAGCUAUUGACACGGAACCGGAAUCUGAAGUAUUGUUAGAACUAUUAUACUCUCUAGCCAAAUGUAUAGAAACAUUAGGAGCUGGUUGUUUGGGUACCGAACCUAUGGCAGAACUUUUACGUAUAUUGAACAAAUUACUCAAUGAACAUUUUGAAAGAGCAGUAGCUCGAUUAGAAAAGAGAAAAGAUGAAGAUUACGACGAAGUAGUCGAAGAACAGCUUGAAGAUGAAGAUAAUGAAGACAUAUACACUCUAAGUAAAAUUGCAGAUAUUUUACAUGCUCUUUUUAUAACACAUAAAUCAUCAUUUUUCGUAUGUUUCGAUCAAAUUUGUGGACAUUUUGUAAAAUUAUUAAGUCCUGAUAGGUCUUGGUCAGAUCACCAGUGGGCUUUAUGUGUAUUUGAUGAUGUAAUAGAAUUCGGUGGUCCUGAAUGCGCAAAGUACCAAGAAUUCUUUUUACGGCCAAUGAUUCAAUAUGUAUCAGAUAAAUCUGCUGAAGUCAGACAAGCGGCAGCAUAUGGUUGUGGAGUUUUAGGACAAUUUGGAGGAGAAGCAUUUGCUCAAGCAUGUGCUGAAGCAUUACCAAGGUUAAUGGAAGUAAUCAAUGAUCCAGAAUCUAGAUCACCAGAAAAUGUUAAUCCCACAGAGAAUGCUAUAUCAGCAGUAACAAAAAUUCUAAAAUAUAACAACAAAGCCAUUAACGUAGACAAAAUUCUUCCGCACUGGCUGUCUUGGCUGCCAGUUGUAGAGGACGAAGAUGAAGCUCCUCAUGUUUAUGGAUAUUUAUGUGAUUUGAUUGAAGCUAAUCACGUAUUAGUUUUAGGACCCAACAAUUCGAACCUCCCUAGAUUAAUAAGUUUUUUCGCUGAAGCCCUUCACAGAGCAGCUGUGCCUACAGAAGAUCCCGUUAUGGCCAGGAUUCUUGGUAUCGUUAGACAAAUUCAGAACAACGAAUCUAUGUUCCAAGCAUGUAUAAAUGCUUUAACGACGGAUCAACAACAGGCACUGAGCGAAGCACUCAAUGCACAGACAACCAAUUAGCCCUCUGCUUUUAUCGUCAAAUUUCAAAAACUUUAGUGUAAAGAAAAGAAAUAAUAAGAAUAUUAAUUUUUAAAAAAUCAUCAUACUCGCAUUAAAAUAUCCUUAUUACGGGGAAAUUACAGAGAUUUCAGGUAGCUAGAUUCAUCAUCCAAUUCUUUAACGAUAUCAAUUUUAGUAUUCGGGAUUGUUGCAAAAUCAAAUCGUUGAGUCGAUAAUUUUAUUCACUGCUGACCAAUGCAGUAUAAUACACAUGUAAUAUACUAAUGUAAAGGUCACGACUAUGAAUGCACUCGCCCUAACGAAUUUGAAAGAAACAAAAAUGAAAAUUUCUUAUAAAUACUCUUCGAUGAUAAUUGUAUAACGAUAUUAAUCAGAUGUAUUAUAUAUACACAGAAUCUUCUUUUAUUAAUCUUAAAAUUCUUCGCUAAAAAAAAAAGAGAAAUAGAAUCUGAAUGAGGCAAACAGAGCUACUAAAAUUUUAGGAAAAUUAUCUGAACAUCGAGAGUCGAGUUAUGCUGAAUCUGUAUAUGAAAAAUGUAGCUUUAUAAAUCAAAUAGUGUUUAUAAACACUAACACAAUUUUGUUAUGUGAAUGUAAUUAUAAGAAAUAUGAUGUUUUUGUCACUGCGAUCUCGCAUAUUUCUUUAUUGCAUCUAUUGUUCUGAAGCUGCACGCCCGGUUCUUUCGGCAGAAAAGAAAACGAUACAUCUUAUAAAAGUAUAUAUUCAAAUAGACUUACAAAAGCAAUUAGACAUUGCUUUGAGAUAAUGUUGUAAUAUUGUGAUUUAGGUAUUUUUAUUAUAAAAUUUAGGUACAGUAAAUGUUAUUUAAUGCUAACAUUGAUAAUAUUGCAGUGUUGAGGUUGGACGUAACUGUAUACGAAUGCCUUUCGAAUGAAACGUAAUGUUAUUGUUCAAUUAAUUAGAUUUGCUACAAAAUUUAGCUCCAUUAAGAAAAUAUUAAAAAGUUAUAUUUAAGUGGACUACAUAAGACAAUGUCUUUACAUUUUGAUAAUUGAAAAUUAAGAAACAACACUGCGUAUGUUUUAUAAUCAAUUAAUGGUGUUUUAAUUCUCUUAUAUUUUUUUUAUCAUUAAUAUUAUUAUUCCAUUUUUCUCUCAGAUGAUUGUCUGAUUUUUGUAUUAUUUAACAGAAACUACCAUUGUUAAGACAUUACGUUUUCUUCCAGUACAGAUUAAAAAAAAAAUAAGAACUUACAAGGAUUGUGAAAAGAGACGUUAUGCAAAAAAUGACUGAGUGAAAAAUAGUGUUAAAUAAUUCCCUGUUCUUGUUGCUAUUUAUUUAUAUACUAUAAAUCCUGUAAUAUGCAAUAUUACAUUAAAAUUUCCGAUGGAAAAUCUACCAUGAAGAAAUUUGUGAGUAGUUCUAACGUAAAAACGCUCAUAAUGAUAACAUUCUUUUUAUUAUAACGUGCGAUAAUUAGUAAUGAUAAUGAUCAAACGAUUAUGUGUAAAUACAACAAAAUAUAUGAAUAUCAAACAAGUAUAUACGGUCAAACUAAUUGACUACGAAUAUCAAUAAUUUAUGACAAAUAUUGUCUUAAUUAUGAUUUCACGUAGAUCAAUAAAUAAUUUUAAUGAAACGCAUAGAAAAUUGUAACAUUUAUCGAAUAACGGUAAAGGCGACUGUUUAUGCGUUACAUAACAAUAGCAAAAUGAGGAUUAAAAAAAAGUAAAAACAUGAAACAUCUAUAAUUCUUAUUAUAUAGAGAUUAUUUUAAAGUUAUUAUUAAGUCAAAAUAAACUUCAGCUUUAUAAUCGUUCGUUUCUUUUCCCUACCAACGAUAACAAUAAAGCUUACAAAAGCCAAAUUAAAAAGAAAUACGGACGAUUAUUAUUUAUGAGAUUUUAUUUCUGAUUAAAUAUUGCAUUUGAAUUAUUUAAAGUGUCAUAAAAAGUGCAAGUUUUACUUAUAGAUAGCUUCAUUUUUAUCUUGCAUUUCAUUAUUCGAUUUCAUAAAUUCUACGCAAAAGAAAUUAAUAAUUACUUAGUGAAAUAUAGCGGUAAUUGCGUUUGCAAUAAUGAACAUGAAUAUUCGAAAAAUUAUUUAAAUCUAUAUCAAUUUUGUUUGCAUAUUUAUGCAAGUUUUUUUCGGGAUACGAUGUAUCGUUCUGCAAAUAAAUACACGGCCAGUUCAACAAUUAUAAACAUACAAUUCUGAUCUUAUAUACACAUACACAUAAAUAUAUUCUGUGCAACACGAGUACACAUGUCUAUAUAUGUAUAUUUCGUGAUUUGAUGCUGGCGUCAUAUCAAACUGUGCAAUAACUCACACAUAUACAGCAAUUCUUAUAAAGAUCUCAUUUCUAAUAAUUUAAUUACUGUAUAGGAAUAUUAUUGAGAUAACCAAAA
rnacentral:misc_RNA from 1 species